CACGUAGUUAGCCGGGGCUUCUUGGUCAGGUACUGUCAUUUUCUUCCCUGCUGACAGGGCUUUACGCACCGGAGUGCUUCUUCACCCACGCGGCAUUGCCGCAUCAGGGUUCCCCCCAUUGUGCAAUAUUCCCCACUGCUGCCUCCCGCAGGAGUCUGGGCCGUGUCUCAGUCCCAAUGUGGCCGUCCACUCUCUCAAGCCGGCUACUGAUCGUUGUCUUGGUAGGCCGUUACCCUGCCAACUAACUAAUCAGACGCGGGCCCAUCCUGUACCACCGUGGUUUUCCCUGCUGUGCCAUGCGGCACAGCAGGCUUAUGCGGUAUUAGCAGCCAUUUCUGGCUGUUGUCCCCCGGUACAGGGCAGGUUGCCCACGCGUUACUCACCCGUCCGCCACUAGGUUUAUAUAUCUUCCCUCCGGAGAGUUCCGUCAGUACUAAACCCCGUUCGACUUGCAUGUGUUAGGCAUGCCGCCAGCGUUCAUCCUGAGCCAGGAUCAAACU
rnacentral:rRNA from 1 species